rnacentral:lncRNA from 1 species
GCAGAAUAAAGAAUAAUUAAAUUAACAACAGUAAAACUUUAAGAACAAAUCAUAUUAAAGCCACGACAGACUUAAGAUAAUAAAAAAAUAUAACAACGAUUUCCUCCCGCAAAAGAACGGCAACAUGGGAAAAAAUCAAACAGAGAAAUUAGUAGUCGUGUAGUUGUGAUGUGAUGGUCAGAAACGUCUUUGUUGCUUGCAUCUAGCGGCUUUGAGAGAGGAGGACAUCUGUAAUUGAAUUUAUUUUCUUUGCUAAGAAUUUCCAUCUCUAAUGAAUGUAAAACCUACCUACCAGUAAUGUGGAAAAUAAAUGUUAAUAAUGGACAAAGAUGAGGUGCGGCCAUUCGAGGUACCUGAAAAAAUAAAUUAUAUUUAUAAUACAGGGACGCCCGCAGGAAUAUAUUGGUGGGCUUAGUUAUUGGAUUUAAAAAAAUGCAGUGGGUUUAUGCACCCUGGAAAAGUCCUGCUGGCCAGAAGAAAUGCCAUCCUUGAUUUCAUGUAAAUAAUAUUCUCACUUAUUAGGCAGGUUACAAACAUAGAGGGCAUCACAAUUAAAUUGUCAUACCUACUUUUAAAGGUUUUUCUUGGUUUAAAAAAAAAAAAAAAAAAUUAACAUAUACACUUUUUCUAUUGCUAAUAACUCCGCGAAUUUUAAUUGUUUUUCUUUCUUUUCUUCAGCUAACUAUUCUUAAUGAACCGAUUUACAAUUCUGUGUAAUUUCAUUUUCCUUUUAAUAGCUCUAAUACAUUUAAAAUCGACUUUUUUAUAAUUCGUCUUUUAAAAGAAGUUACUUAUGGUAAACUUCCUGAAGUUUCCGGUAAAAUACGGAUAUGAUUAUGAAUACUUUAGGCUUUUGUCUAUUAAGUAGCAAAAUUUAAAAAAAAAUCGACCGACUGACAUAGGCAUUAUUAAACUUGCAAAAUGGUGUUUUCUAAAUCACAAAUUUAGUUGGGUCGAUCGGAACAACGGGAUAGAGUCCAAUUAAACGAAUCUAUUGUCAUUUUAAAAACGUUAAUAUUAUAUUAAUUCAACUAUAAACCUACUAUUUACAUAGUCUGUUCUAAAUAGUCUCUAAUUAUUUGAUUUUAAACCGCAAAACCUAAACCAAAUAAGGAAA